rfam:Dipodomys ordii ctg_broad_rename0004873, whole genome shotgun sequence.
GGGAAUGUGGCUUAGUGGUAGAGCGCUUGCCUUUCAUGCCGGGGACCCUGGGUUCAAUUCCUCAGCACCA